UGGCUACGAGGACGAACGCUGGCGGCGUGCUUAACACAUGCAAGUCGAACGAGGCUUAGGGAAGAGCUUGCUCGGAACUAAGCCGAGUGGCGGACGGGUGAGUAACGCGUGAAUAAUCUGUCUCAUACAGGGGGAUAACGCAUCGAAAGAUGUGCUAAUACUGCGUAGGACCACGACGGGGCAUCCCGUUGAGGUGAAAGGAGCAAUCCAGUAUGAGAUGGGUUCGCGUCUGAUUAGAUAGUUGGUGAGGUAACGGCCCACCAAGUCAACGAUCAGUAGCCGACCUGAGAGGGUGAUCGGCCACAUUGGGACUGAGACACGGCCCAGACUCCUACGGGAGGCAGCAGUGGGGAAUAUUGGGCAAUGGGCGAAAGCCUGAACCCCCAGCAACGCCGCGUGAAGGAAGAAGGUUUUCGGAUCGUAAACUUCUGUCCUAUAUGAAGAGCAGUAGACGGUAGUAUAGGAGGAAGCCCCGGCUAACUACGUGCCAGCAGCCGC
rnacentral:rRNA from 1 species